rnacentral:ncRNA from 1 species
ACAGAAGCGAAGAACAGAAUUAGUAUAUGUAGGAACCGGCGCAGAGAAGAGACGGCAGGUGAGAGUUUCAUGCGGGGAAUAUGUAGAACCGGUCUGGGAGCUUCCGGGCGAAAGCACGGCGUAGAACCGGCGUUAACGGUGAAAAGAGGAUCGUAUCAUGAGAUAUGGUCAAUUAGGGUGGUACCGCCGGAUUUUCGGUCCCUUGU